GUUCGUUAGCCGUGGUAGGCAAUUCACCUAGGAGAGUAAACUCCGAACAAUAAACCCGGGCAGGUUGGGCUCGUGAGCCGUCAUAGGUAAUACACCUAGGAGAGCAAACUCCGAACAAUAAACCCGGGCAGGUGGAGGUCGUUAGCGAAAGCAGUUCAUCUAGGAGAGCAAACUCCGAUUACAAACCCGGGCAGGUGGAGGUCGUUAGCGUAAGCAGUUCACCUAGGAGAGCAAACUCCGAUUACAAACCCGGGCAGGUGGAGGUCGUUAGCGUGAGCAGUUCACCUAGGAGAGCAAACUCCGAUUACAAAACCCGGCAGGUGGAGGUCGUUAGCGUGAGCAGUUCACCUAGGAGAGCAAACUCCGAUUACAAAACCCGGCAGGUGGAGGUCGUUAGCGAAAGCAGUUCACCUAGGAGAGCAAACUCCGAUUACAAACCCGGGCAGGUGAGGUUCGUUAGCCGUGGUAGGCAAUUCACCUAGGAGAGCAAACUCCGAACAAUAAACCCGGGCAGGUUGGGCUCGUGAGCCGUCAUAGGUAAUACACCUAGGAGAGCAAACUCCGAACAAUAAACCCGGGCAGGCUGGGCUCGUGAGCCGUCAUAGGUAAUACACCUAGGAGAGCAAACUCCGAUCAUAAAACCCGGGCAGGUUGGGCUCGUGAGCCGUCAUAGGUAAUACACCUAGGAGAGCAAACUCCGAACAAUAAACCCGGGCAGGUGGAGCUCGUCAGCCGUGGUAGGCAGUCUGCCUAGGAGAGCAAACUCCGAACAAAAAACCCGGGCAGGUGGAGCUCGUCAGCCGUGGUAGGAAGUCUGCCUAGGAGAGCAAACUCCGAACAAUAAACCCGGGCAGGUGGAGCUCGUCAGCCGUGGUAGGCAGUCUGCCUAGGAGAGCAAACUCCGAACAAUAAACCCGGGCAGGUGGAGCUCGUCAGCCGUGGUAGGCAGUCUGCCUAGGAGAGCAAACUCCGAACAAUAACCCGGGGCUUGUGGUGCUCGUUAGAUGUCGUAGACAAUCCACGUGAUGGGAACACCAAAGAAAUUAAAAUAAAAAGGAACACCAGAAAAAGGAAAAUAUAGAAACAAAACAUCAAGAAAAGAAAAGAAACACAGAUCAUCCACCUUCAGGCCCUAACAUCUCCAAAAUUAUGGAUGAGUCUUUUCUGGGGAGAAAGAGGCUCAUCCAGACCAAAGAACAUCGAAAAGGGAUGAUAUAGAAAGGAACACCAAAAAAAUGGGAAAAAGAGAAAAAAAACAUCGCAAAAGAAAAGUAACAACAAUA